AUAAGAUGCAGAGUGCAGUAAUCCAUUAGAGUAGCAUGUUCAUACCGACAAAGAUAAUCAAAUAUUUUUGCAAAACACAGUAUAAGCCACAUAUCAGAUUUUCAACAGGAAAUCAAGCAAUAUACAUCAAAGAUGAAUCUAGACAAGAUUGGUCACACCAUGGUAAACCUGCACGUCGCCAUUCUUUUCAGCCACCAAUUAGAGACGAGAUUUUUCAAAGCAAAAUACCAAUGAAGUGUCUUCUCAAUUAGAUUCUUAGAUUCCCUGUAGCAGACUCCAUGGUGCAGGUGGUGGACAAAGUUUUUCAGACUUGUAUCAAUAGAGACAAACCAUAACAUGAAAGCUAUUGACAAGAUCGGAAUCUAGACAAAACUUAAUUGGGUUACCAGGAGACAAGGUCAACUCGGUGUACAGCCACAGAGAGCUUCACAAAAAGACCAGCAAUGGCUUCCACAUGAUUCAUUCAAAUUUGUUAUAAUGUAUAUACAGUAAAUAGAAGUAGCAUGUGUAUUUUAGCUACCACCAAUCACAUUGCUUCAUAUGUCUUACGAUUCUUUCACCAUCUUCCACUAACAAAAAAUGUACAGUUGGAAGCAAUGCAAAGAGGAUUGAGAAAAUGAGUUUGAGCCCCAUUUUGGGGCAAAAAUGAAUAGUGUAUUGAUAGAAAAUGUGUGGUUAAAAAAUAAGGAAAUGUUUU
rnacentral:lncRNA from 1 species